GUCAAAUGCACCUUCAGUAAGUGAUAUAAGUAAAAACACGAUUUUCCUUCUUCAACUUAGCCAAUUCAUUUCUCUGCAAAUCAAAUGGAAUUCCCCCAAAUUGACACCCCAAACCCUCUUAACAGUUCUCAAAUUGAAACCCAUUCAUUUUGGGGGCAAAUCUGAAAUUACAAGUGUGAAAAGCCAAAUGCUCCAACCCCUAACCCUAAAACCCAAAUCCAUUUCAUUCUCAUCGCUUUAUGCCCUUGAAAUCGAGAGAAGAAUUAGGAAAAAACCAUUUACUUCAUCAAUCCAAAACCUGAAAUUGGCUUUUCCCAUACCUAAAAUUGAUUUUCUCUAAUGUUGUGAUUCCCUUUUUACCAUACUUAACUUCCACAAAUAGCUGGUAAGUUUGAAUUUGCAUUUGGUUGUAUCACUGUGAUUAAUGCUAUUGUGUUAUCAUGCUUUUGUGUCCCUGCAGUUUGUUUUACUAAUUUAUCCAUGGAGGCCAUUGACUUAACGCUAAACGUACUGAAUUUGUGUGUGUGUGUUGAAAUGCUUCUGCCCCUGCAGUUUGUGUCACCACUUUAUUCAUUAAAACCAUUUAUUUAACGCUAAACGUACUAAAUUCCCUGGCUGCACAUAUUGUUUAGAAUGACAGAGAAAAAUAAAGACAUUUUGUCAUAAAGUUCCGGCACAACUUGUCCGAAUGCCUGAUAAAGAAACGAUGCCCAAAAUGUGGUGUUGGCUUCUUGAAAUGUAUGGAGGUAGAAAAAAAUAUUGGACACGUAGGUCGCUUAUUCUUAUGAUGUACUAGGGAUUGAUUGCAGUUAUGUCAAGUGGAACGAUGAUUCAUUGGAAGAAAAGAUUUUGCAAUUUGAAGUGUAAUGGACGAUCGAUAUGUGUUUGUUCAAGUUAAUCGAAGCCUAAAGAUCCGAAUGAAGAUUUGUCAUGCAUGUUGAAGAAUUGUGCUCAAAUAACACAACAAGAAGACGUCAAGAUAUCUCUCAACACAAUGAUCCGCAAGGAUACAGAGAGGAGAGCGGAAAAGGAAAGUGGAGAAUUUCGUGAAUUUCUUAUAGUUAUGUAAUCGAGUCAAUGACCUAUGUUGUAGUUGUCGAACUCAAUGUUUAUGUAAUAGGAUCUAAACUUGUUCUUAAUUUGCAACUUUUUCUACGCUUUAUGAAUGGAAUGUCCCUACUCUAGAUUACAAACAUAAUUCGAUGAUGUUAUACAUUCACAGUAUUUCCAAUAUGAUUCAUUCCAAUCCAUUUAAAGAAUCUACAUUUCAAGCGCAAAAAACAAUACUGAAUUUCGAUAAAAGCAUCAUUUGCUAGAAAAAAAUUUACUUAUCAAGACAAAUACUAUAGAUUCACAGGAACGAUAAAUACAAAUUUCUUCCUAGCAUGUAUACCAUAAAAAUAUUCUAACUCCAUCUAGUAAUCAGUGCUCUUGUGCAUUGCACUACAAAACACUGUCACCGCCAUUACACCGAACGGAUAUAGCUCUUGUGUCGCCUUUGCAAUUCUUCUUGCUCGUGCCCUUGAUGUGCUCAGCUUUUUACGAUUUAGCCUGGUGCAUAUGUUGCAUUUCCUCAACCAUUUAUUCGAAGUUAACUUCAACGGUUGGCAUAGUAGAUACAACAGAAUGUCCACAAUCAAGUUCAUCACCAAUGGGCAUCAUAACUGCUGGACUGGAUGUAAUAUGAACCAUUUCUGCUUCACACACAACGAUGGGUGUAGGCAUGAAGUGGAAGACAUCUGUUGUGCUACAUUGCUUGCCGAAGACGCACCCUCUUUGAACUCAACCGUAGAGCUAGAAAUCUGCACGACCUCAAAAUGUGGUAUGUCUGUCUCGACAGAAAAUUUAGGAAAUUGAUACACAUACCUCAAACUUUCCAUGAAUUCUGAAAGUAGCAAAAUGAAUAAUACAUUGUAAUGGUAAUACAUUAGCUUUUCAACAAGCAUCAAAACCAACUUUUAAGUGCCAAAACUUGUUUAUAGUUAAUUACAUUUUACCAAGCACAACUUAUAAACAACAAUCAGAAUUAAAAUAAUAACC
rnacentral:lncRNA from 1 species